CAAUUAAUUUUUAAUUAGUAUGUAUUUGAGUUAAUUUGUGAGUUAACUGAUUAAUUGACAGUCCUAGUUUCUUUAACUCACAGUUGACAAACAUAACUUAAGCACUUAUGUUAAAGUAAACUCUUUAUUAGCUCCUGUUUUUAAAGAAUUUAAAAACUAAUUACUAGUUAAAAUAAUAUGUAUUCAAACAAUAUUAAUAAAUUAUAUUUGUCAACUUUGAUAGAACAUAGCAUGUGUCUGGUAAAUUCUACCCUCACUUUCUACUCCUGUUGCUCAACUCCAUUUCUUCUCCCACAAGUACCUUUGGCUUAUCUUUGUUCGUUCUCCAUCUUUUUUAUCUUUCUCUCCCUCCUCUUUUAGUCUUGUAUAGUUUAUACUCCUCUUUCCCCUCACCGCAGCUACAGUCAUGGUCUAUAACCACCCCAAUCUUGCUGUCCUUAUUCAUGCCCACAUGCUAAUGAAAAUUAUUUUGACUGCUGGACUAAGUACAUGGUAGUUAUUUUUGUGGUAAGUAAUGUAUCUUCAAGACUGGGGAGAGUAGAGAAGUCACCGUCAUGUAUAAGAAGACAAAGUUAAAUGCUAACUCUUUAAACAGCUCUUACGCCACACGCUGGUACUAAAGUUCAAAAUGCUCCAACAAUCACAUGGCUGUUUGAAGUUGUCUAAAUAAAGGCAACAAUCUACUCAAAUACAAAGCCCAAGGCUUUCAAAUUUAUGUUCCUAAAAUUAAGCAUCUAAAUGCAUAUUUAAGUGCAUAAAUUAAGUGACCUGAUUUUCAAAUGUUAAACGCCCACUACUCCUCUUGAAGUAAAUAGUUGCUCAGCACUCCCUAAAAAUCAGGCCAGUAAUAUCUACACA